GAGAAAAUUCGCAAGGACUGCUAACCCAUGCCUCCAUACUUAAAACUAUGGCUUUCUCA
rnacentral:tRNA from 1 species